rnacentral:rRNA from 1 species
GGGAGCUUGCACAGGUGCUGCAUGGCUGUCGUCAGCUCGUGUCGUGAGAUGUUCGGUUAAGUCCGCUAACGAGCGCAACCCUCGCUGUGUGUUACAAAGUGUCACACGGUACUGCCGGUCUUAAGCCGGAGGAAGGUGGGGAUGACGUCAAGUCAGCAUGGCCUUUAUGUCCUGGGCUACACACACGCUACAAUGGCCAACACAAUAGGUUGCUAAGCCGCGAGGUGGAGCCAAUCCUCAAAGUUGGUCUCAGUUCAGAUUGCAGGCUGCAACCCGCCUGCAUGAAGAUGGAGUUGCUAGUAACCGCAGGUCAGCUAUACUGCGGUGAAUACGUUCCCGGGGCUU